CACUGGUCGAGAGCUGACGCCAGUCUUCUGAUGAGUCCAAAACAUGACGAAACCAGUG
rnacentral:sRNA from 1 species